AUGCCUCUGUCUGAUAGGCGGCUAAAGGUCAUUGACUUCCAAGACCUACUUGACAAGUUAAUUAAGAAGAUUGCUGGUUGGAAAGCUAGGUGGAUCUCCUCCACUGGUAGAAUGGUGCUUGUAAAGUUUGUUCUCUCAGCAAUGCCAAUUUUCCUUCUGCUAGCUGUUCAUCAACCAAAAUGGGUCAGCAAGAAAAUUGACAAACUACGUCGUGCUUUCUUAUGGGCUGGCUCUAAUGCCGUCUGUGGAGGCAAAUGCCUUGUCUGCUGGACUCAGGGGUGCUCACCCAUCUCCAUUGGCGGGCUGGGCAUCCAUGACCUACAAGCUCAGGGGCGAGCGCUUAAAGUUCGCUGGCUUUGGCAGCGCGCCACAGAUCCGGAUAAGCCAUGGCAAGGUCUGCAGCUUCCUGUUGAUAAGCAUGUUAAGGCCCUUUUCACUGCUUGUACCUCCAUCAAGAUUGGCAACGGCAUUAGGAUCUCCUUUUGGCAUGAUCACUGGCUCGGCGGCGAGACUCCGGCUGUUUCAUUUCCUAACCUUUUCAAGAACAGCAAGAACAGAAAAAUAUCAUUGGCUGAAGGUCUCACCAAUAGAAAAUGGGUCACCCUUCUCAAGCGCAACCCAGGCAUUGAUGUCUACUACACAACCUUCUUCUUGUAA
rnacentral:rRNA from 1 species